rnacentral:misc_RNA from 1 species
GUGAGUCAUCGAAUCUUUGAACGCACAUUGCGCCCGCCAGUAUUCUGGCGGGCAUGCCUGUUCGAGCGUCGUUUCAACCCUCGAGCCCCCCCGGGGCUCGGCGUUGGGGAUCGACCGUCCUCCGCGGCGGUCGGCCCUGAAAUCGAGUGGCGGUCUCGCCGUAGCCUCCUCUGCGUAGUAGCACACACUCGCACCGGACGGCCGGCGCGGCCACGCCGUGAAACCCCCCACCACUGAAAGGUUGACCUCGGAUCAGGUAGGACUACCCGCUGAACUUAAGCAUAUCAAUAAGCGGAGGA